rnacentral:tRNA from 1 species
GGUGGGGUUCCCGAACGACCAAAGAGAGCAGACUGUAAAUCUGCCGUCACAGACUUCGAAGGUUCGAAUCCUUCCCCACCA